CCUCCUUUCCUCCAGUGGUUUGGUCUCCUCACUUCUGUGGAAAAGGAGCAGAAGGUCAACUGCCUCAGGUGUGUGCAGUCACUUACUGGCCCUGGAAAUGUACAUCCAGAACAGAAUAUUAUCUUCCUGGCAGCCGUCCCAUUCAGCCUGUGCAUGGAGCUGUCCCAAGACCUGAGCCUUCUUAGUUUGGUGAUGCUUCACUAUGGCUUCAACUCUCCAACUUCUGCCCUCCAAGACCAUAGUGAUAAGAAAACAAAGAUCAACUACCCCCGAGCUGGGAGGAGGACUCCUUUUUUCUCUGUACAGCCUUUUAUAUGUUUAACUUGCUUACCAUGUAAUAUGGAUAACCUAUGAAAAAGAUUUCACGUGUAUACCUUUUUAAAUCACUUACUCUACUUGUUUGUGAAGACAAAAAUAAAUUUAAAAAAUGCCACAGACUUCUUGCAAGUUAAAGAAAAAAAUUCAGCUUCCUGUGUAAUAAGAAAUAUUGUAAGUCACACUCGUAGUCCGAGCUAUUUGGGAAAUUGUGGUGGGAGGAACACUUGAGCCCAGGAGUUCGAGACUGCAGUGAGCUAUAAUGGUGCCCACUGCACUCCCAUCUGGGCAACAG
rnacentral:lncRNA from 1 species